AUUUGUCCGAAUAUCCCGUGCAGAAAAAAAGCACAAAAACCCAGUGUCACAGAGAAACUUCUCAGAAAGCGGUUUAGUGUGUCGUUCUUCAAGUCGAAUCGCUACUUGCUCCAGUUAUCCGGCAACCAUGAAGCUCCUUGUGAUCAUUGCAGCAGUCUUGUGUGGAAAACAGGUGAUGACACAAACAAACAAUAACAUAUGCGGUUCUGGGACCCCGCUUCCCAUUCAGCUGAAUUCUCUCAGAGUUUCGGACUGUCGGAACCUGAAUGACGGUAAACUGCACAUCAGUAAAGCUGCACCUAGUCAUUCAGUUUGUGCAGAAGGCCAAUUUAAGGUUAAACCUGAGUUGAUCACGGGGAAAGUGUCUCUUGGCCUGGAAGCAGAAAUUGACUUAACGUAUUAUGUGCUUGGCUUCUUCCGAACCCCUUUUAAAAGAACAGAAGUACUGUGCCCUUCUGCAAAAUGGUAAGUGUUCUCAUGAAGUCAAUUUGAGUGCCCGCGCAGUUGCCAAUUAAUGAGAGCAAAACUAAUUU